rnacentral:rRNA from 1 species
CCUGGUGGCAAUAGCGCUGUGGAACCACCCGAUCCCAUCCCGAACUCGGAAGUGAAACGCAGUAGCGCCGAUGGUAGUGUGGGGUUUCCCAUGUGAGAGUAGGUCACCGCCAGGC